CCUGUUGUUUAAACUUUUAAGAUGAUCCCUAACAGGAUUAAAGUCCUCAGCAAGCUGGCAGAGGCAAGCUAUUCAGAAAAACAAGGUCAUGCUGCAGGGUUGUGUGUGCGUGUGUGGGUUUUUGGGGGGUAAGCACAGGAAUCAACAAAGAGAUGUUAUAUAACUUCUUCUAUUUAUAUCCUACUUGCUCACUAGCUGCAGGCAUACAAGAGUAGCUGAGAAGGGAAUUUAAUGAGCUCUCGGGGCUUGCUCACCUUCCAGAGCUGGUAGGAGCCAGUUUGUUUUUGAAGUGCGUCAGCAAAUGAAACUGGUGGUGGGUGGGUGGUUUGGGUAGGUGGACUGACUUGUUGCUAUGGUUUUCUUUAAUUCCCCUGUCUC
rnacentral:sRNA from 1 species